UGACCUCGAAUCAGGUAGGAAUACCCGCUGAACUUAAGCAUA
rnacentral:rRNA from 2 species